rnacentral:rRNA from 1 species
GCAUAUCAAUAAGCGGAGGAAAAGAAACCAACAGGGAUUGCCCUAGUAACGGCGAGUGAAGCGGCAACAGCUCAAAUUUGAAAUCUGGCUUCGGCCCGAGUUGUAAUUUGUAGAGGAAGCUUUAGGCGCGGCACCUUCUGAGUCCCCUGGAACGGGGCGCCAAAGAGGGUGAGAGCCCCGUAUAGUUGGAUGCCUAGCCUGUGUAAAGCUCCUUCGACGAGUCGAGUAGUUUGGGAAUGCUGCUCAAAAUGGGAGGUAAAUUUCUUCUAAAGCUAAAUACCGGCCAGAGACCGAUAGCGCACAAGUAGAGUGAUCGAAAGAUGAAAAGCACUUUGAAAAGAGGGUUAAAUAGCACGUGAAAUUGUUGAAAGGGAAGCGCUUGUGACCAGACUUGCGCCGGGCGGAUCAUCCGGUGUUCUCACCGGUGCACUCCGCCCGGCUCAGGCCAGCAUCGGUUCUCGUGGGGGGAUAAAGGCCCUGGGAACGUAGCUCCUCCGGGAGUGUUAUAGCCCAGGGUGUAAUGCCCUCGCGGGGACCGAGGUUCGCGCAUCUGCAAGGAUG